rnacentral:rRNA from 1 species
GACGAACGCUGGCGGCGUGCCUAAUACAUGCAAGUCGAACGCAGUGGGGACGGGUGAGUAACACGUGGGUAACCUCCCAUCAGAGGGGAUAACACUUGGAAACAGGUGCUAAACCGAUACUGAUGGAUGGACCCGCGGUGAAUUAGCUAGUGGGUGAGGUAGCGGCUCACCAAGGCCACGAUGCAUAGCCGACCUGAGAGGGUGACCAGCCACACUGGGACUGAGACACGGCCCAGACUCCUACGGGAGGCAGCAGUAGGGAAUAUUGCGCAAUGGACGCAAGUCUGACCGAGCCACGCCGCGUGAGUGAAGAAGGUUUUCGGGUCGUAAAACUCUGUUGGUAGAGAAGCGGUAUCUAACCAGAAAGCCACGGCUAACUACGUGCCAGCAGCCGCGGUAAUUC